UACGAAGGGGCUAGCGUUGCUCGGAAUUACUGGGCGUAAAGCGCACGUAGGCGGCUUCUUAAGUCAGGGGUGAAAUCCUGGAGCUCAACUCCAGAACUGCCUUUGAUACUGAGGAGCUUGAGUCCGGGAGAGGUGAGUGGAACUGCGAGUGUAGAGGUGAAAUUCGUAGAUAUUCGCAAGAACACCAGUGGCGAAGGCGGCUCACUGGCCCGGUACUGACGCUGAGGUGCGAAAGCGUGGGGAGCAAACAGGG
rnacentral:rRNA from 1 species